GCGGCGUGCCUAACACAUGCAAGUCGAGCGAGAAAUCUUCGAAUGAAUCUUAGGACGAUUUUGGAGAUGGAAAGCGGCGGACGGGUGAGUAACGCGUGGGCAAUCUGCCCUGUACAGGGGGACAACACCGGGAAACCGGUGCUAAUACCGCAUAACACACCACUGUGGCAUCACAGAGGUGUCAAAGGAGAAAUCCGGUACAGGAUGGGCCCGCGUCCAAUUAGCUAGUUGGCGGGGUAAAGGCCUACCAAGGCGACGAUUGGUAGCCGAACUGAGAGGUUGAUCGGCCACAUUGGGACUGAGACACGGCCCAGACUCCUACGGGAGGCAGCAGUGGGGAAUAUUGCGCAAUGGGGGGAACCCUGACGCAGCAACGCCGCGUGAAGGAUGAAGGUUUUCGGAUCGUAAACUUCUUUGAUUGGGGAAGAAGAAAGUGACGGUACCCAAAAAACAAGCCACGGCUAACUACGUGCCAGCAGCCGCGGUAAUACGUAGGUGGCAAGCGUUGUCCGGAAUUACUGGGUGUAAAGGGCGUGUAGGCGGGGGUGCAAGUCAGAUGUGAAAGCCCAGGGCUCGACCUUGGGACUGCAUCUGAAACUGCAUCUCUUGAGUGCCGGAGAGGAAAGCGGAAUUCCCAGUGUAGCGGUGAAAUGCGUAGAGAUUGGGAGGAACACCAGUGGCGAAGGCGGCUUUCUGGACGGUAACUGACGCUGAGGCGCGAAAGCGUGGGGAGCAAACAGGAUUAGAUACCCUGGUAGUCCACGCCGUAAACGAUGGAUACUAGGUGUAGGGGGUAUCGAACCCCUCUGUGCCCGAAUUAACACAUAAGUAUCCCACCUGGGGACUACGAUCGCCAGAUUGAAACUUCAAGCGAAUUGACGGGGGGCCGCACAAGGCAGUGGAGUAUGUGCGUUAAUUCGAAGCAACGCGAAAAACCUUACC
rnacentral:rRNA from 1 species